rnacentral:lncRNA from 1 species
GGUCACAAAUGCAUAUUAUGAAUAGAAUUAAUAGUUAAGACAGAGUUGACAUCAGGAAAAUGUAAGUUAUAAAUGAAAUGGAGAAGCAUGGACAAGGUGUGUUUCCCUUGAAGCCCCUCUAAUUAAACUGUCAGAUUAAACCUUUCUCAUCAACAGUAGUUAAAAAAUGAGCACUUUACUCAGAACAUUAAAAUUAAAAUAUCCUUAUUUUCAUAUAUAUUUAUAUAUAAAUGUAGAUUUUCCAUGUAACAUGGAGAUGUGUGCAAUAGUGAGAAUAUGAGCAUAAGGCUGGAAGGCAAGCAAUAAACAAAGGUUUAUUUCAUGGUAUAAUUAUACAUUUUUAAAAUGUUUCAUGUGUAAAUUAUAAAUGAUCCCUUUAAUGUCACAUUGUCCAAGUAUGAAUAAGUAUAUAUAUGUACAUAUGUACAAACAAUUGUAAAUAUUAGAACUAUAGAAAAAUCCCUUCACUUUUAACUCUGUUUUUGGCAAAGGGCUCUAACUGUAUAGUUUAAUGGAGGCCCAUGCUAAACUGCUCUUGAACUUGAGUAGCUCGAUUAUGUUUUUUUAUGGCAGAGGUCUCCUUCCUGUGACCUAGUGAGAGUUCUUACCUUCUGUUUGCAUCAGCAAGAUGUAGGGAUUCUCCGACCCUCGCUGAACUGGGGUAUGAGAAACAGAGUGUCUUUAUGCAUUCAAGAUUUUUAAUGAUUACACUGAGUGAUUUCAUUCAUCUGAUAUUCAAAAAGAUGAGCUUCAACAGGUUGAAGUGUUAUAUUUGUUUUCGAGUACUUCAUCCAUCUAUCUAUGUUCUUGAGGAUGGAUGGAAAAACAGAAUGGAACAAGGUAUUGCUUUGAUCAACUGCUUUUGAUAUUCUUUAUUAAAUAUUUAUUUUGGCUGAAUUUAUCAGUUUAUAGGCUACUGUAGCCUACAAUUAGCACUGAAUGCAAUGUAGUACUUUACAUCUAUUAGCAUACAUAUGCACCGUAUCUAUAAACUGUUAAACAUCAGUUCCUAUACAGCAUCCAGUCACCCUCUCCCUUACAAAUAGUCACUUUAUUAGGAAACAUUUGAAGGCACUUUAAUUUUAAUGGAAGUGAUUACACUAAAUAUUGUUACAUACUUGACUUAAAAACUAGUGAAAGUAACAUGGAGUCUGAUUCAGACAUUGUUAGCAAUUUCUCAGCUGGGCUGGAGUCAGAGAGCAUUUAUUAAUUCUAUGACAAAUCUACUUUAGUGAGUCACUUAGGUGUGAAAAUGUAUAGGAGUUUGAAAAUACAUGCUUCUGGUAUAUUAACAAGAAAUAAGCAAAUGGGAAGAACGGAACCAAUAAUUUUAAAGGAAAUUAAACACCAAUCAAAUAUGCACAGUAAGAAACUGCAUGAUAAAUGUAAGUAUACUUAACCUUGAACAUCAAUGUCAUAUAAAAUCUUCUGGGUGACAGUUCACUUAUUUAGUAGGUUUCAUAGUUAUAAAUAAUUAAAGAGGAUGAUAAUGUGCUGUAAUUUGUGACCUUGUUUUAACUGGAAAAAAGUUAUUACUUUUCUAAAAUGUAAAAGAAAUAACUGGAUUUAAGUUUGAAUGUGUCACUGCUUGCUGUUGAAGAAUAUUUAUUAACCACAUGCAAAAUAUUGCUUAACAUUAUCUUUUUGUACUUCUUAUUAAAGUUAAUUUAAAUAU